rnacentral:misc_RNA from 2 species
UAACCACUCAAGCUCUCGCUUGGUAUUGGGGUUCGCGGUCUCGCGGCCCCUAAAAUCAGUGGCGGUGCCUGUCGGCUCUACGCGUAGUAAUACUCCUCGCGAUUGAGUCCGGUAGGUUUACUUGCCAGCAACCCCUAAUUUUUACA